GACAGAGGGUGCAAACGUUGUUCGGAAUUACUGGGCGUAAAGCGCGUGUAGGCGGCUCGGCAAGUCGGGUGUGAAAGCCCUGGGCUUAACCUAGGAAGUGCACUCGAAACUGCCAAGCUUGAGUUCUGGAGAGGAAGGCGGAAUUCUCGGUGUAGAGGUGAAAUUCGUAGAUAUCGAGAGGAACACCGGUGGCGAAGGCGGCCUUCUGGACAGCAACUGACGCUGAGGCGCGAAAGCGUGGGGAGCAAACAGG
rnacentral:rRNA from 1 species